GUUCUUAGAAUUGCAAGAAAAAAAAAUCUGCUUGGUAAACAUUGUGCUUGACUUGUCCUCCACCCUGAGGAAGCCACCCCAGAUGAUUUACGCAGUCUUUUGUUGAGUUUUCAGCUGGCCCUUUCACUCUGACUCUGCUGUCGUAACCACAGUCCCACCAGAGUGAGCCUUGUUCCUGACAGUCAUGCAACGGGGCAACCUUAGAGGGUCAAGGAGGUUCGUAACGGUAAACACCGAAGGUGGCGGAAGGGGAAGAGAGAAGGGAGAAAGAUGCGACCAGGACAGUAAGUUACCAGGCGAAGCUGAGCAGUUGUGACAGCCCACAGUGUUGGAAAAAUCUGCAGAAUUUAUCAUCUGACCCUUUCCAGAAAACGUGUGCCGAACCCUAACCCAAGGGCAUCAGCCAGGAGCAUGGGUGGCCCACCACAUCACCUCUUAGAAGAGAAGACAGGACAAUUCAAAGAUUCGGGCCUGACGGAAGGAAGAGGCAGGGAAAGCAGAAUCAACCUGGAGAGCCCACUGCUUGCUUCCAGGUCCCUGGAAGUGAAGCCGCUGACAGGAGCCUCAGGAAGGAGGAAACCCUCGCCCUUAUUCGUAAACACACGACAGCGGCUCAGAGAACUCCGUGGCUAACGGCAACUUGUGUGUUGCAGCCAAGAAUCUGGGGCCAGGAGGCUGCAGAAGGAAGCCGUGAUAUACUCUCCCUCCCUCUGUGGCGGGGCAGCCAGGUUUGGAUUUGGGGUUGGGGAGGAGGGAGAACAGAAGGCUAAGCCCCAAACAGGUGCUUUUCAUUUGGGGACAUGUGUCCUGGAUUUUCUGGGACAGUACCAAUUUCUUCUAAUUUGAUUAUUUUCAAUGAGGGCAAUUUGUUCGACAUCUGAUCUUGAGUUUGGAAAACGACGGCCACUACGCUUAUAACUUAACGAGGGCACCAGCUCAGUCUCCGGUGUGAAACCCUACUCUCAACACAGAGCACUCUAUCCAGCACAUCACAGUCUUUCCUGAGCAAGUGGAGUAUACAUUUGAGGAUAACGAGGCGGCUCAUCAGAGGGAAGAACGCAGACACAAAAAUAGAAGAAAAUGCUACACUUGACGGGGGAAGAGACGAGGGGAUUCCAAGGAAGCCUUGAAAGCCGGAAAUCAUGCAAAUUGGGAAAAACACCAUUCGGCACAGAAAUGUGGGGUACCAGCAGCGUGAUGAGUAUGCGUUAGAGGAGUUAAAAAAGGAAUAUGCAAAUGUGGCUGGGGAAAGCCAUAAGGCUUCACAGGAGGUGUGGACGAGAUAAAAGAGACGGGGUGUGAGGCUUUGUACACCCCUUAGGAGGGAAGAGAGUCCCGUGGAAGUGGGCACGUGCACGAGAUUGGAGAUGGGAGGUGUGGUGUGAAUGCAACAGGAGAAAUACUGGAUUGUCUUAGUCCACGUGCAUACACAUGUCUGCUCCCUCUCUGUGCAAAAAGAAAAUGGGGAAAAGUACAUAACAAUACAACACGAGGGGCGCCCUGGAUGACUCUGUCGGUUGAGGGUCAGUCUGACUUCAGCUCAGGUCAUGACCUCACAGUUCAUGAGUUCGAGCCCCGCA